rnacentral:rRNA from 1 species
CAGUCGCCGCGGGAAUACGGAGGGUGCAAGCGUUAAUCGGAAUUACUGGGCGUAAAGCGCACGCAGGCGGUCUGACAAGUCAGAUGUGAAAUCCCCGGGCUUAACCUGGGAACUGCAUUUGAAACUGUCAGGCUGGAGUCUUGUAGAGGGGGGUGGAAUUCCAGGUGUAGCGGUGAAAUGCGUAGAGAUCUGGAGGAAUACCGGUGGCGAAGGCGGCCCCCUGGACAAAGACUGACGCUCAGGUGCGAAAGCGUGGGGAGCAAACAGGAUUAGAGACCCGCGUAGUCCCUGUCUCUUAUAC